rnacentral:rRNA from 1 species
GUGUCUCUAUCAGAGUUUGAUCCUGGCUCAGGAUGAACGCUGGCGGCGUGCUUAACACAUGCAAGUCGAGCGAGGGAGCACCUUCGGGUGUGAACUAGCGGCGGACGGGUGAGUAACACGUGGGCAACCUGCCUUACAGAGGGGGAUAGCCUUCCGAAAGGAAGAUUAAUACCGCAUAUUAUGAUUUUUUCUGCAUGGGAAAGUCAUGAAAGGAGCAAUCCGCUGUAAGAUGGGCCCGCGGCGCAUUAGCUAGUUGGUGAGGUAGGGGCUCACCAAGGCAAUGAUGGGUAGCCGGCCUGAGAGGGUGAACGGCCACAAGGGGACUGAGACACGGCCCUU